GUGCCAGGUCCUUGCACUCACUCUUGUCCCUUCUUGGCCCCAGGUGCUGGAGUCCACAGCUGCCCUGUACAACCAGGACCUGUCCCGGCUGGAGCUGCUCCUUGGGGGGCUCCUGGAGAGCCAUGGGGACCCUGGGCCCCUCUUUAGUGCUAUUGUCCUCAACCAGUUUGUGAGGCUGCGGGACAGCGACCGCUAUUGGUUUGAGAACACCAGGAAUGGGCUGUUCUCUGAGGAAGAAAUCACAGAGAUCACAAACACUUCCCUAUGGGAUGUUCUAGUGGCUGUCACCAACUUGAACCCCAGUGCCCUGCAGCCCAAUGUCUUCUUCUGGCAUGCGGGAGACCCCUGCCCGCAGCCAAGACAGCUCAGCACCAAGGGCCUGCCAGCCUGUGCUCCCUCCAUCAUGCGGGACUAUUUUGAAGGCAGUGGAUUUGGCUUUGGGGUCACCAUUGGGUCUCUGCUGCUUCCCCCUUGUGAGCCUGCUGAGUGCCUGGAUUGUUGCCCAGCUCCGAAGGGGAAAUUUCAAGCGGCUCCAGGGCCAGGACCGCCAGAGUGUCAUGCCUGAGAAGCUUGUGGGGGGCAUGGAAG